CAUUAAGAGUCUUAAAGGCAAGAAUUGGUCUCUUAAACCAAAUAAUAGUAUAUUAGCAAAUACUCUUAAUGA
rnacentral:tRNA from 1 species